rnacentral:tRNA from 1 species
CAGAAAAUAGUUUAAUUGAGAAUCCUGGCUUUGGGAGUCAGGGGUGAGAGUUAAAAUCUCUUUUUUCUGG